UCUUUCCUGUACAAGGCUCUGGGGACAGUGCUGGGAGCUUGUAAGGAAGUCCUCCACAUCCAAGAGAAGCUUCUGCAACACCUGGAGGAAGCAAACGCGGAGGAGCCCUCUGAGGCCCAGGUGAGGUCUCCUCCCAGCCAGCUUCUGCCAGCAUCCCCGGUCUGUCCCUUGGGCAGAGCGCUUCUCCUGGCCCUGCUCCGAGCCUUUUGAUCUCCUCACUGCUGCUCUUUCCCUCAGGCGAGGACCAGCCCGGCCACUGUGGCUGGCCGCGCCGGUAGGUUCAGGCCUGCGCCAACUGCCCCUUGUUCUUUUGUGCAGGGCAUGAUCUCUCUUCUCAGCCAUGCUGCUGAGAGCAACUUCCACACAGCCCUGGACACGCUCACCAUGUUUGCGUCCAGGCUGUGCAGAGGCCAGAAUGGGAGGAGUUCCAGACGCAAGAAGGUGAAGCGUUACGCAUUUCCAUCUUGGCCUUCUGCUGCCUUAUUUUCACUUGGGAGCCCAGGUGCAUCGUGGGGCACCGGGGGGCUGCUGAGCGAGUGUCUCAAGGC
rnacentral:lncRNA from 1 species